rnacentral:rRNA from 1 species
UACAGAGGGUGCAAGCGUUGUUCGGAAUUAUUGGGCGUAAAGCGCGUGUAGGCGGCCUUGCAAGUCGGGUGUGAAAUCCCUCAGCUCAACUGAGGAAGUGCGCCCGAAACUGCAUGGCUUGAGUACCGGAGAGGAUGGCGGAAUUCCCCAAGUAGAGGUGAAAUGCGUAGAUAUCAGUAGGAACACCAAUGGCGAAGGCAGCUUGCUGGCAUGUAUCUGACGCUAAGGCACGAAAGCGUGGGGAGCGAACAGG